rnacentral:rRNA from 1 species
CAGCAGCCACGGUAAUACGUAGGUGGCAAGCGUUGUCCGGAAUUAUUGGGCGCAAAGGGCUCGCAGGCGGUUUCUUAAGUCUGAUGUGAAAGCCCCCGGCUCAACCGGGGAGGGUCAUUGGAAACUGGGAAACUUGAGUGCAGAAGAGGAGAGUGGAAUUCCACGUGUAGCGGUGAAAUGCGUAGAGAUGUGGAGGAACACCAGUGGCGAAGGCGACUCUCUGGUCUGUAACUGACGCUGAGGAGCGAAAGCGUGGGGAGCGAACAGGAUUAGAUACCCCAGUAGUCCCUGUCUCUUAUAC